rnacentral:rRNA from 1 species
UACGUAGGGUGCAAGCGUUGUCCGGAAUUAUUGGGCGUAAAGCGUGCGCAGGCGGUUUUGUAAGUCUGACGUGAAAUCCCCGGGCUCAACCUGGGAAUUGCGAUGGAGACUGCAAGGCUAGAAUCUGGCAGAGGGGGGUAGAAUUCCACGUGUAGCAGUGAAAUGCGUAGAGAUGUGGAGGAACACCGAUGGCGAAGGCAGCCCCCUGGGUCAAGAUUGACGCUCAUGCACGAAAGCGUGGGGAGCAAACAGG